AUUCUGUUGGGACAAAUCCAGUGUUCACAAUCGUAAAAUGGAAACAGCCCUAAAGGCCAUGCAAACCGGCAAAGACUUUCCAAAGAUCCAGACUUUCAGAAAGUUUUCAGGUGGUUCCAGAUAUAUAGGUACUACCUAGAUACCAGAUGAUAUUUUCCCACCAGGACCGAUUUCACUUUCAAUUCUUAAGAUAUAAGCUGACGUGGCACAACUCCAGAGUUGAUCCCAAGGACCUAAAAAAACAGACGCCAUCCAACUUGGAAAGAUGAUGUAAACGAAUGAAGACCUUCACGAGAUCCAGACUUGUGUACUAUUUGUUUUUGGAAGCUAAUAUUGAACUAUUUCUCUUUUUGGAUGAACCGUAUCAGCGGAGUCCACCUUAAAUCGAUAAAGUGCCUGAGGGUCCCACAAUCCAACUAGGACUCCGGUGAUAGAAACCAAACCCGCCACAAUUUUUGUGG